rnacentral:rRNA from 1 species
AACUCUCAACGAUGGAUGCCUCGGCUCGAGAAUCGAUGACGACGCAGCGAAGUGCGAUAGCACUGCGAUUUGCAGAUUCGUGACAGUAGAAUCUCACGCAUACUGCACAAGGGAUCUUCUCUUGUACAUACAUAUCAUGUCG